rnacentral:rRNA from 1 species
AACGAACGCUGGCGGCGUGCCUAACACAUGCAAGUCGAACGAGAAAAUUCCUUCGGGAACUAGUAAAGUGGCGCAAGGGUGAGUAACACGUGAAUAAUCUGCCUUCGAGACUGGGAUAACUUGACGAAAGUUAAGCUAAUACCGGAUAAGACCACGCUUCAUAAGGAGUGCGGCAAAAGGGAUCUCAAAUCCUGCUUGAAGAUGAGUUCGCGUACCAUUAGCUUGUUGGUGAGAUAACAGCCCACCAAGGCGACGAUGGUUAGCCGGCCUGAGAGGGUGAUCGGCCACACUGGAACUGAGAUACGGUCCAGACUCCUACGGGAGGCAGCAGGUGGGGAAUAUUGCGCAAUGGGCGAAAGCCUGACGCAGCAACGCCGCGUGAGCGAUGAAGGCCGUUCGGGUACGUAAAGCUCUGUCAAGUGGGAAGAACACAAUGACGGUACCACUAGAGGAACGCCCGGCUAACUUCGUG